rnacentral:lncRNA from 1 species
ACAUUACUGUACAAAACUAGAAGGUAAAAGAUGACAUAGAAAAACGAACAACAGACUCAAAACAUAAUAACUAAAAAAAUCUCCUUAUGCAAACUCUUGAAUGAGCAACCCUGACUGGAUGGUCCUGGAGUGUCUGUCAUGCUCAAACUCUGAUAAGUAAGUCCACACCUGUAUGAGAAAAUUAAGACCAAAUAAAGUUAAAGACCUAUAACGAUGUGAGACAAUAACACUUCCUGUUAGACACAUGCAAGACAUGAUUGUGACUAUUUUUCUAAAAUUAACCGAUGUGGCUAAAGUGGCUAAAACUGCAAGAUUUGGCUAAGACUCCGCGAAGUCAAGAACCUAAGAUUUACUAGGAAGACCGGACCCUAUGUGGGUUUCCUACGUAUCACGCCCCGAAAGAUGAGAAUCAGGUUCGCGUAGUUCGGGAAGACUGGAUACGGGCGAGAACUAAAAAAACAACUAAUUUAGAAAAAAAUAUUUUGUCUUUUUUUAAAAAAAAUGAUGAAACAUGUAAACUCUUUUUGGAAUUUCUUUUUCCUUUUUUUUUUGGAAAAUGAUGAAAAAAUGCAAAUUCUUUUUUGGAUUUUCCAUGUUUUUUUGGUCUUUUUCUUAACAAAAAUGUGACAGGAAAUAUAACUGGGCCCUACUUGCUUUAUUUUCACACUUCACACUCUCUUUUUUUCUUUUUAUUUUUUUUCAUUUGCCCUCAACUAUCAUUGGUCCACCAAAUGACCCUUUUACCCUUGAAAAAAUGCAACAUGUAGCACAUAGGAUGCAUCAGGAUGGUCUUUUAUUUUUGGGUACACUUGUCCUAGACCGACCCAACCCCUGUGUUGAGUCCCCAAAGUCAAAUGCACGUGAUGCAAACAAACGUUCCUACUAGGGAUCCGGCAUGAGGUUAUGUUAUUCUAAGUUUAAACCUGGGGUUGUGUUCUUUACCUGGCUUUCCCGAGCGGACAACUCGAGUAGAAGAGGGGGCAAUGUACCAGGAGCACGAAAGUCUACCCGGCCUUGUUGAUGGCCCAGCCUCGUUCUAUUUGGUAUAAGUUCUAACAGAAAAGGUGGGUCACGCGAACGUGUGCACCAUUUUUAGAAGACUCAGAGGGGUGGCGUAAGAAGACAGUUAUAUACAACUCAAAUUAUAUCAAAGCGGUAAAUAGACGGCAAUUAGCACAUUAGAUCCACAAAAUACAGUAAUAUCAACAAUAAAUAAAGCCAAGUAAAAAUCAUAUUAACAAGCUUGAAUUCUUGAGCCCUGAACCAAAGAUUCUGGGUUCUUGUCCCCAGCAGAGUCUUCCGAGCUGUCACAUCUCCUUUUUCCUACCUUGGAAGGGCAUAAAAGAGUUUUUCCAAUUUAAGUGACAAUCGAAACGGGAUUAUUUAAAUUAAAAUCAGAGUCUCCACUUGGGAUAGUUUAUUGGUGUCCCAAGUCACCGGUUUAAAAUCCCGAAUCGAGGAAGUUUGACUCUUAUUUAUGGUCUGCGAACAUAGAAAUCCGGUUAAGGGAUUUUGUUAACCCGGGAGAAGGUGUUAGGAAUUCCCCGGUUCCGUGGUUUUAGCAUGGUCGCUUUGAUCAUAUAUGGCUUAAUCAAAUUGUCUAAUUACUCCAUUUUAGAACCUAUGUGCAUUUGCCUUUUAAUUAAAAAAUUAUCUUGAAAACAGGCCACACGUAUGUGUAUUAUGACGACCCGGCCAGUUGUCUCAUGAGUUACCGCUCCGUUUCCCCCAUUUCUGAUUCUUAUUUCUUUGUUAUCCGUGUUUUAUGGUAUCGGGUUGGUCGGAUCGAAUCCGGAAUGAUUUUGGUAAGGUUUGAGACACUUAGUCUCUUUUAAGAGAGUUUGAGUUGGAAAAGUCAACCGGAUAUUGACUUAUGUGUUAGAGGGCUCGGAUACUAGUUCCGAUGGUUCAGUUAGCUCCGGGAGGUGAUUUAUGGCUCAGGACUGUGAUCGGAAUGGGUUUUGGAGGUUCGGAGUAGAAUUAGGCUUAAAUUGGCGAAGUUGAUAUUUUGGCGAUUUUCGGUUGAUAGCGAGAUUUUGAUAUAGGGGUCGGAAUGGAAUUCCAAGAGUUGCAGUAGCUUCGUUUUGUCAUUUGGGAUAUGUGUGUAAAAUUUCAGGUCAUUCGGACGUGGUUUGGUUGGGUUUUUUAUCAAAAGCGUAUUUUCGGAAGAUUUUUGAAACUUAGGCUUGAAUCCGAUGUGAUUUGGUAGAUUUGAUGUUGUUUGAGGUAUUUUGAUGAUUGGAACAAGUUUGAAUAAGGUAUUGGAUUAUGUUUGUGCUUUUGGAUGAGGUCCCGGGGGCCUCGGGGUAAUUUCGGAUGGUUGACGGAGAAAUUGGGAUUUUGUUGCAGCAGCUGAUAUUGUUGCUUCUGCUAUUUUCGCACCUGCGGUUUGGGGACCGCAGGUGCGGCGCCGCAUAUGCGUUGGAAUGGCUGCAGAAGUGGACGGGGAGGAAUUUGUCAGGGACCACAGAAGCAGUCAAGAUAGCCGCAUCUGCGACGAGUGUAUCGCAAAUGCGGAAUUUGGUUCCUUAAGUGAUUUUCGCAGAAGCGGAGGGUAGACCGCAAAUGCGGUUAAAGUGCCGCAGAUGCGGAAAGUCCUGGGCAGAACAUAUAAGUUAUUUCAUUUCGUGAGUUUGAGUUAUUCCACCAUUUUUGACUUCGGCUUGAGAGCUUUUGGACGAUUUGGAAGAGGGAUUUCAAGGGAACUUUGUUAAGGUAAAGAUUUUUGACUUAAAACACGUUUCUAUGGUAGUAUUUCAUGGAUUAAGAAUGAAAUUAAAGGAAUUAAAAGGCUAAAAAUGGAGAAUUCGGGCUUGAGUUUAAGAGGCCUUAAAUUGAGGAUUUGAGGGGUCAUUUGAACUCCGAUUUUGGUAUUCUUGAUAUGCAUAGACUCGUGGGGAGAUGAGAAAUCUAUUGAUGUAAAAAUUUCUGAUUUUCAUGAAGUGGGCCCGGGGCUCGGGUUUUGGUAAUUUCGGGAUUUGUGUCCUUUCUUGAUUGUUUUCGCUGGGCUUUGUUCCCUUAGCAUAUGUUGACGUCCUCAUUCUGAUUUUUGGAUAGAUUCGACGCGUGUAGAGAUCGAUUCGAGGGGAAAAGGCGUCGCGAGCUAGAUAUUUAGCCGGUUCGUGGUGUGUAAUGAUUGUAAAUGGUGCUCUGAGGGUUUGAAACCCCGGAUUGCACAUCGUAGUGCUAUAUUGAGGUGAGGCACACGCUUGAUGACGAGCGUGGGGUCGUGCACUAUUGGGGAUUGUGAUUUGGUCCAUCCCGAUUGAUGAUUUUACCGCGUAUUUGAUUGAAACUUAUUUACUAUCCUCAUGAUUUGGGCUGAUUGCCAUAUUUGGGCUUCGUGCCAACUAUUUGAACCCUUUGGGGAUUUUUAUUACUAUUUCCUCACUGUUUUGACUUAUUACUUGAACUCAGUCAUGUUAUUCUCCACUGUUUUACUACUCAACCAUUUUUACUCCGUUUUGAGACUUAAAUGAUAUUUUAAAUUAUGUUUUGGGCUGAGAAAUACUGUUUUACUAGUGCCCGAGGGGCUUGUGAUGAUUUUCGGACUGAGUAAGGCCGAGGGCUUAGUUGUGAGGAUACACUAAUACUGAUAUGAGGGCGAGGGCCUGGGAUACAUAUAUACGCCACAAGGUGGCUUGAUUGAUAUGAGGCCGAGGGCCUAGAUUUGAUGCCACGAGACGGCUUGUUAUUGCGUUUGGGUCGUAAGGGGCCCCUCCCGGAGUCUAUACACCCCCAGUGAGCGCGGGUACCUAUUGUGAUGUGAGAUUGAGCCUGAGGGGCUGGUAUUGUUCUAUGUGAUAGCCCGAGGGACUGGUAUUAUUCUAUGUGAUUGCCCGAGGGGCUGGUAUUGUUCUAUGUGAUUGCCCGAGGGGCUGGUACUGUUCUGAGAUGUUGCCCAAGGGGCGAAUUUACUGAUAUUGUGUCCGAGGGGCAAACUUCUAUUUGUUUAAUUUACCUUAAUUACCUGUCAAUUACUUGUUUACUGGUUGAAAGAGGAUUUUACUUGGCUUUUCAUUGUCUUACUGCUUUUAAAUGGUUUUACUGCUUCAUUAUAGAAUGCCUUGUGCCUUACGUAUUUUCCUACUUUCAGUCUUUAUUUACAUUUGUUACUCACUGAGUUGGAGUCCUCACUUUACUCCCUGCACCCUGUGUACAGAUUUAGGCGUAGCUGGUCUCGCUCCGGAGUGCUGAUUCAUUCCAGCUUCAGGCGGAUCUUCGAGGAGUCUUUAGGUAGCUGUUGACGUUCGCAGAUCGGAGCUCCUCCCUAUCUAUUUCCUUAUGUUCUUAGUUCAGUAUUUAAAACUCUGUAGUUACAUUUAAGGAUUUGGUAUGGUUAGAUGCUCGUAACUUGUGACACCCCGGGUAGGACUGUUUUGGGUUGUACUUCCGCACUUUAUUGGCAUUAUUCACUAUUUGGUAUUACUAUAUCAUGUUUUAGACUGUUUUUAUGUUAUCUAAUUGUUUAAAAAGGUGAAUUGGGUUUAAGUGGUUGGCCUUGUCUUCACGAGAGGCGUCAUCACGACCGGUUUCGGGUUUAGAGUCGUGACAGUGUACCCAUUUGUUUGGCACGUCAAAAAUCAUGUCACGCGAACGUGUCCACAAUCAAUGACGCUUUAUUAUUAUUAAGAAAGUUUGUCGAAGCUGCGCGAACGCAUACUCCAACUUUGUUUUUAGAAUCGUAAUUAUGUCAUGUGAAUGUGUCCACAAUCACGAUGAUUUAUUUAUUAAUAUGUGCCUAAUAUACACGCCAAACACGAACACCCUAAAGAUUUGACUACCCAAUUUAAGAGGAGCUCCUAAAGUUGCCUAUUUCUAUCGGACAUAAAAAAAAAUAUAUCAUUAGUGAAGGGGAUGAUUCAAGCCUGAACAACAAUGUAACAAACGUAUAUUAAGAAACAAUCCAUUAACACUAUCGAAACCCACCAUUAAAGGUAUCGUCCAACAACCCAUAUGUUUGAGCACUUUCCCAAAUUUAUUCACUUGUAAAAUUGGUUAUCUUCUUUGUCACGCGUGGGAUUCAACAAGUGCAACCAUAUAUUCAACCAAAAGUUAAUCAACUCAAGCACAUCUUUAAAUAAAAUUGCAAAUCAUUUGCAUAAUAGCUAUUAAAGCAUGUUAGGCAAACACAUAUCUCGAUCAACCACACAAUGCAAUUUAAGUUAUGUAAAGAACAGAGAAGAGAGUGGACCUCAAUAGCAAAAUCUGAAAUUUCAAAAUCACGGACAAGACCUCUGUUAAAACGUCUCGCCGGAAACCUCAAAUGGAACCGGAACCAUUAAACAGAAACCUCACUGGUGAUCAAUGACAAAAACCUCGAUGAAUGAUUAUUUCAGCAGCGCUCGAACUUUUGAAGUAAAACCAGCAACUUGGAACAAUUUUCUGAUCAAUGAGCGUACUUGAACCUUAAGACAUUUACACUGACGAAACAAAUUUUAACAUUUUCGAACUUAACAACUGGACGAAGCCAUGAACGGGAAUCUUUCAAAGAUCGGAGCUCGAUCGGAAAGUGUUGCUUGAAUUAAUUAUUUUGGCCUAAAUCGGACCACCAACGCAUCCUAAGGUAGUAGCAUCAGUAGGUAUCGAGAGAAAGGAAGAAGCCAGUAGAAGCUCGGGUGAGUGAAAGGAUCGACGAAGCUUGAAAAUUUGGUGUGUAGCUGAAUUCCGGCGAUUCUUUGUGUGUGUUUGUCUGCUUAUAUGGGUGUGUGUUCUGGGCGUUCUUAGAGUUUUUCUGGCUGGACGCCGAUAGCUAAGAGGUGAAGGGAGGUGAUGGAGUGUGCUGCUGUUUUUUUAAGAUGAAGAGAGGACGAGAGCUGCUAGUUCCCCCUUUUCUCUUGUGAGUGUUGCUGCUCUUCAAGAUUCAGAGAAUGGGAAUCGACUGAUGCAUUUUUAAGGGUCUGCUGGUGUUUUUGGUCUUACGGAGAAGAAUGUGAUGGAUUCCUUUCGUUGGUUUUGUGAGUCUGUAAAAGACGACGUUUUGGGAGGGGGGUUCUAUGGUGAGAAAAACGGCGGAUCUCCCUUAGAGGUCUAA